UCUCCUAGAAACUCUUGUACACUAGCCUACUCUCAAUAAAGGUAUUACUAGUAGGAUUUACCUUUAAACCAUAUGAGGUUCAGGAGGAUCUUUAAUGCAGAGUUUUUCAAACCGUGGAUUGUGACCUCUUAAUAGUUUGUAAAAAUCAACUUGGUGGUUUGGUGUAUCAGAAUGUAAAUACAUCGUAAAUACAGUAGAACAGAAUGGAAAAGGAACAGAGUGAAAUGAAGGAAUAAAGUGGAAGGAAAAAUAACGAGCAUCACAAGAAAUAAGGCCUCUUCCAGGAAUGGAAGCAAAUUUGAAGGUCCACCCAACCUAAGUAUAGCUUGCUGCCCCUCCUGACCAAGAAGCCAAGACAGAGAACAUAGGAAACUGGAGCACAACUGGCAGGAGCCUAAACAGUGACACCGGGCAGCUCUGGAACCAGGAUGAUACCACCCAGCCACAGAGUCCAGCAUACACCACUCGCCCAAGGAAUGAGGAAAUGACAGAAUUACACUUUUCUCUGCGUCAACAUGUGCUCUGUGGUAACAGGAUAAACAGAGGAUGACCUGAACAAAACUGGAGGCUCGCCAAUGGAAAAAGAAAAAGUCUUUGAUAUAUCUGAAUACACAUUAAAGAGGAAAAAACUUACAAAAACACUAGCCCUGCUUUGCCAAUAUCAUGUUUCAUGACAAAGAAAUUAAUUCUUCAAUGAUGAAAAUGACGGUCUUUACUGAACUUAAAACAUGAAAGUCUUUAAGAAAUUCAAGACUUUCAGAAAACUCAUUCUAAUCUAGUCCUGAAAUAUUCCUUCCUUCACCCAUAAUCAUACAUUUUUAAUUGUGUUGACAUCUGAGAAAGAUCAAUUAGAUAAAAUCUGUCAUGUCCGGAAGAUUGGUAUAGAAUAAAAUUAGCCUUGCAUUGGUCUAAAUUCUAUCAUGAUAGUAUAAUUAAAAAUUUUGCGUGUGUUUUUUUCAGCUUGUUUCAUGCCAUUAGUAUAUGAUUAAAACAGUUAUAGUUGUU